ensembl:rRNA 5S_rRNA 5S ribosomal RNA
GUCUACAGCUAUACCACCCUAAAUGUGCCCGAUCUCAACUGAUCUUGGAAGCUACUCGGGGUCCAGCCUGGUUAGUGGUUGGAAGGGAGACCACCUGGGUAUACUAGGUGCUGUAGACU